rnacentral:lncRNA from 1 species
ACCUGAGUUUUUGAAAGCAUGUAGGCCCAUGGAAGAGGUGGCUGCUGCCGAGGUUAGGAAAUAAACUGCCGGAAUAUUGUGAGACGAAGCGAUUUCCGGUGCCCAUGAGGGAUUGAAAUCAUAAAUAAGCAAAUCAGGGUUUAAGGUUUUAAGGAUUUCAGAGAAGGUGGGGGCUGCUGUUUCAAAGGCGUUUCUGAGUGGGACCAUGAGAUGGGAAGGGAGGCCAUUUGUGGUGUGGUAGUGAGGGGGAAGAUCAGGGGAAGAGGGAAGAUGAAGCUCUACUAGUUUUAUAGAAGCAGAGGAAUCCUUAUCAGAUACUCUGUUCUUGAUGGAGCUAAGAUUGAUUGGGGUAGAACAGAGGAAUAUAUUACAAUUUCUUUUUGAGAGAUGCUUGGCUAGCUCAAAGAAUGGAGAAAUGUGGCCAUGGGCUAAAAAUGGCAGCAUAACUAUACUGAUUCUACCUUUUUCGAUAUCCAUGAUGAACUCUGUUUUUCUUACUAAAUAAAUUUCUCUCACCCCUCUCUACUGAUUUCAUUAGCGAAGGUGGGGUGUACUAUAUAUAAAAUAGUUAUAUUACUAUUAUACUCCGUCCGUCCCUUCCUUAUUAUUAUUUUGGGUAAUCUCAUGUUAAAUGUCUAUUUUUUUUAAUAACUAAAUUUUUACACAUUUCUUCCUAUUAUACCCAUAGCAUUAAAUAUUUUAUAUUUUUAUUAUUCUAAUUCUCUCCAUAUUUAUUAAGCAUAAUUAGUUAUGUGCUGAAAAUAUUUUGAAUUGAAAAGUUAGAAAAUUACUCUCUCACCUCCAUUGAAAAUAAUUAAAGACAUAUUAUUAUGAGUAAUUUUAUUAUUUUAUUCCUCUUUUUAAUAUGCGGAUUUUUAUCCUGGACGGAGGGAGUAAUAUACGGCGUGUAAUCAAUCACACGCGUACUGAGUGACGUAUGUAGUUUGUAUCGUUAUUGGGCGAUGAAAUUAAUGACAUUGUUGGCUGCAAAAAGAUGAAUAAGAUAUGUUGAGAUAGAAAAUAGGAAAAAUUAAUAAUAAUUUUUUUAAAACUAUCCCUUAUUAUUCUGUUUAUUUUUUUAAUAUUUUAAACUCUUUCUCUCUUUUUAUCCUAACAAAAGAUUUAAGAGUAUUAUAGACAAUUGAGUAUUAUUAUAUUUAAUAUUUUUUAAUCAUUAUUUUAAUUCUUAUGUCCACUUUUAAAUAGGAAAUAGUAAUUUUCCUAUUAAGAGUACUACUCCAUAAUUUUAUUAUUGUUAUUAAUUAAGCUCAUUAAAUGAUAAUACUUAUUCUUUGCCUUGUGUACUUAUCCUUCUAUGCAGAUAGAGAAUAAUAGGAUCGGUCGGAAUAACAAAAAGCACCAAUAAUUUAUUUAUUCGUUGGAAUAAAAUUCUUUUAUCAAUUUUCUAUUUUUAAUGAUCGUCAUUUUUUAUGCAAAUGUCACUUGUGUUGGCUAACGGACAACUUGCUUAAGCUAAAAUAAGUAAAUAACGAGUGCCGUCCAAAGUUUUGCCUCUUUUUUAAUCAUUUUUUAUUAGUAUUAUUGGAUGCCCAUUUUUUAAAUUUAUUGCUGAUGUUACUACGCAUUUUGAAAAGUUAAAGCAUGCACCUUUUCGCCGAAGGCUUUUAUUUUUUUUUAGAUAUUUUUGCAUUAAAAAAAUAAUAUUUUUAUAUCAAAAUUUAUAACGAUAUUUUUUAUGUAAAAAUAUUACAAAAUAUUAUGAAAAUAUCAAUUUAUUUAAAAAAAUGACAAAAUAUUAAUGGCAAACUGCAAGUAUAAUUUUAUACUAGAUGGUUUAAUAUUACAAUGUAUACAUUUCUAAAUAUUAUAUUGUCCGAUUCUAAAUAAGUGAUACAUUUUAAUUUUUUAGAGUCAAUUUAUAAAAUUUUAAAUUUUAAAAUUAAUAUAAUCUGGUUCAAGUUUUAAAAAUAGUAAAGAUAAUAUUUUAUACUUAUUUUAUAAUUAUUAUUUUUAUUUGUACUAAAACUAAAUCAUUUCAUAUCAAUUUUAAAAUUUUAUAAACCGAUUUUAAAAAAAUCAAAACAUUUCUCUUAUUUUAAAAUGAAUUGAGUAUAAGUUGGUCAAAAGUUGGUUGGUUAUGGGUCAUGUUCACAAGUAUAUAAGAAUAUUACUAUAAACAUGACUUUAAGACUUGGUUGUUACGGAAAAAUGUUGUCCUCUAUCCUCAAAAGACGGUCUUUAAUUUACAAAAUAUUUUAUUUCUAAAAAAUAUAUUUUAAAUAUACAAGUUAAAAAUAAAAUAAUUAUAAGACUAAUUUACCCUAAAAAAUAUAUUAAAAUAAGAUCCACUAAAUUUAAAGAGACAAACAUUUAUUAGUAUAAUAGAAUGGAGUUCACCAUGAACAAGAUUGAUAUUUAUUUUAUACUAAUUCCACUCUUUUAAGUUUCAAUUAUCUAAUACCCCCAUCAAAGAAAUCAAAACAAAAUUGAAAGAGAGGAAAUUAAUGGAGCCCUUUUCAAUGUUUUAAUUCUCGUGUUAUGUUUGGAUUGAAAAAUUAAAAUUAGUAAAAGAAUGGAAUAGAGAAGAUAAUAAAAUGGAAUAGAAAGUGAAAAAAUUUAUUUCAUUUCAGCUAAAAUGAUUCAUUUCAUUUUAAUGAACAACCAAACACGAGUUAUUCUAUUUUCACCUUUAUUUCUCUAAUCUACAAAAGUUUUUUAUUUAUUUAUAAUUAAUAACUUAUGAAAUGACACAAUAUUCUAACUAUAGGUAUCAUAAUUUAUUAUCAAACUAACGAUGUUUUUUUUGUUUGGGCAAAUGAACAGAGAUAAAAUUCAAGUAUAUAACAAGUUAAAGAGGAGAUAAAUUAAUUUGUAAGAAUAAUUUGAUUAUUAAUUUAUAAUUUUUAAAUAUAAUGAGUAUAAUCAUAUAUACAUGCACCCAUUAUUAUUUACCAAAAAACAUUCUCAUUAAUUGAUUAAAUUUUUUUUCACUUUAAAUAUACUCCAAAAGGAAUAUAAGCUAUAUUGGUACAUGAAUAAUACUAGAUCCCUAAAGUAUUAUAUUUUCAUCAACUAAAAACCUAUUUUAGAUUGACAAUAAACUAGAAUUCUGACAUAUAAUUCAAUUACUAUCAUUUAUAAAAAUCACCAAUCAAAUAAUUAUUCUAGAGUCCUAGCUAAAGUAAAUGUACACUACAUUUAAUUAUUUAUCUUAAAAUUCACCGAAAUAAACUUACAAUAUAUAAUUCAAUUAUUCAUCUAACUAGAUAAAAAUUUAAUAAAUCAAUAUUAUUUUCUCAAAAUUCUAAUAUAUCAUAUUUAUACUAAGAAUAAAGAAACUUUUACACAUCCGGUCGAAGUUCACACAAUUUAAAUAGAAUAUAUAUAUAUAUAUAUAUAUAUAUAUAUAUAUUCAAUAACAAUAACAACAACAACAAUAAUAAUAAUAAUAAUAAUUUUAAAAAAAAACUAACAAUUGAAUUAAUUAAAUGGAACAUUAAAUUAGUAAAUAAUUGUGAAAAACAAUGAACCUAAAUUGAAAUGAAUUACAAUCGCCAAAAAAAAGAGAAAAAAGAAAGAUAACUUUUUUUUUUAUUAUUAUAUUCAACUGAAAUUUAUUAUUUCUGUCUUUUGACAAAAAUAGAUCCCAAACCUCAUGCACUCAAGCCUAAUCAAUAAAUUUUUUAACCAUUGAACCAUGGUAUGAAAGAUAACUCGUGACUCACACAGGUUCCAAGCUUGUAUAUGUUAAACUUCAUGUGACUGAAAAAACUAAUCAACUGCAAUCAUAACUAGGAGUCGUUUCAGGGUGUUGGAGUGUGGUUUGAUGGGUUCGGGGGAAUGGAAGGGUCACAGUUGAUCUAUAAAUCCCUUGUUUUAAUUAGCUUAAUUCUUCUUUUUGAAGAAGUCAAAUCUGGACUUACAAUUAUAAGGACCAUCAACAUAGGAUUGUUCAUUGUGCAUGUUUAAGUUCAUUAAUUGGUGAUUUAAUAAGCGGAUAAAUUUCGACGUUAACACAAGAUAUGAAAUUCAAUGAGACGAGAGAAGGCUUUCCUCCCAUACGUGGACCUACUUGAGAUGAGCAGAAUAUGUCUGAGCAACUUUGUCAGAUCAGGAAUCUGUUAAAUUUUGCCUCGGUUAGGCUAGCUGUAAGACAGACAUCAUCACAGAGAGGUUAAAGAGUAGCUAGCUGAGAAAAAAUCUGUUCUUUCACGUACAAUAUACUUGGCAAGACAUUGUAGACUUUUAGCAGAGCUUAAUUUAGUUUUAUUACAUACCAAACCAAUGAAAAUCAACCAUUCCUUGGUUUAGUACAAAAACCACUUGAAUUAUAGCAUACAAAGAAAGAGUUCAAAACCCAACCUAAGCGCAUUCAAAAUUAGUACUACUACUAUUACUAUUGUGCAUCUUUCUUCUUCUUACAAAUUUGUACUAGCUCCUCCACUGCCCUAUCAAUCUCUUCCUCUCCUUUCUCUUUCAUUUUCUCACUCAAUUCCCUUGCUUUCCUCCUCAUAACCUCCCCACUUUUCUCCACAACGACUUUUCUUAUUACCUCUGCAAUCCCUUCUCUCUUAUACUUCCCAUUUUCAUCUCUCACAACCUCCAUGCCCACACCAACCUCCGCCGCCAGCUUACCAUUCAAAGGCUGAUCAAGAUGCCUGGCCAUGGCAAUUACUGGAACCCCAAACUUCAUACUCUCCGCAAUAGAACUCCACCCACAAUGGCUCACAAACCCACCGGUGCUUGAAUGUCCUAAAAUUCUUGCCUGUGGAGCCCACCCCUCCACAACCAAUCCUCUGUCUCCUACCCUUUGAACAAAUCCCUCUGGUAAAACCCCUUUUUUCUCUCCUUCAAUUAAUCUCACAGCCCAUAUGAAAUUAACCAUGCUAAUCUCUAGCCCAAUUGCUACUUCUUCCAAUUCCUCAUUGGAGAGAAAAUACUCACUUCCAAAGCAGACAAACACCACUGUAGAUUCAGCCCUUUUGUCAAGCCAGUUUAUAAUCUGCUCUGUUUUUGGAUCUUCAUUAUGGCCCAUAGGAUCUUGAACGAGUGGACCAACAGGAACCAAAGUUUUAUCAGAUAAAGUGGAAAGCAAAUCGAUAUAUUUCCCUUCUAGUUCUAUAAAACUCUUAAUCAAAAUAAUGUCGCAAGAUCGUUCGAAACAAGCGAUAAAAUCAUGAAGUAGCUUCAUGUUAUCUGCAGAAGGUGGUUCAGGGGUAUUAUUACUGUUAUCAUAAAAAUCUGGAAAUGGGUAUUUUUCACCUGGGUUUUUGAAAGCAUGUAGGCCAAUGGAAGAGCUGGCUGCUGCCGUGGUUAGGAAAUAAACUGCCGGAAUAUUGUGAGACGAAGCGAUCUCCGGUGCCCAUGAGGGAUUGAAAUCAUAAAUAAGCAAAUCGGGGUUUAAGGUUUUAAGGAUUUCAGAGAAGGUGGGGCCUGCUGUUUCAAAGGCGUUUAUGAGUGGGACCAUGAGAUGGGAAGGGAGGCCAUUUGUGGUGUGAUAGUGAGGAGGAAGAUCAGGGGAAGAUGGAAGAUGAAGCUCAACUAGUUUUAUAGAAGCAGAGGAAUCCUUAUUCUUGAUGGAGCUAAGAUUGAUUGGGGUAGAACAGAGGAAAACAUUGCAAUUUCUUUUUGCGAGUUGUUUGGCUAGCUCAAAGAAGGGAGAUAUGUGACCAUGGGCUAAAAAUGGUAGCAACGCUAUACUGAUUCUACCUUCUUGGUUAUCCAUGAAUGAACUCUGUUUGUUUCUCUCUCUCUUGCUGUAUAAUUUCAUUAGCCAAGGGUGUGUAUAUAAAUAAAAGAGUAAAAUAUAUUGACACCCCC